rnacentral:rRNA from 1 species
GACGAACGCUGGCGGCGUGCCUAAUACAUGCAAGUAGGACGCAGUUGCGAACGGGUGAGUAACGCGUUGGUAACUGCCUAUUAGAGGGGGGUAACUCUUGGACACGAUAGCUAAUACCCCAUACUAGUUGCUGGACCUUCGUUGUAUUAGCUAGUAGGUAGGGUAAUGGCCUACCUAGGCAACGAUACGUAGCCCACCGGAGAUGGGGAGCAGCCAGACUGGGACUGAGUAAGGGCCCAGAGUCCCACGGCAGGCAGCAGUAGUGAAUCGUCGGCAAUGGGGGGAACCUUUACCGAGCAACGCCGAGGUAGUGAAGAAGGUUGUCGGAUCGUAAAGCUCUGUUGUUAAGGUGGCGGUACUUAACCAGAAAGGGACGGCUAACUACGUGCCAGCAGCCGCGGUAAUUC